rnacentral:rRNA from 1 species
GACGAACGCUGGCGGCAUGCCUAAUCCAUGCAAGUCGAACGCAGUGGGGACGGGUGAGUAACACGUGGGUAACCUCCCAUCAGAGGGGAUAACACUUGGAAACAGGUGCUAAACAGAUCCUGAUGGAUGGACCCGCGGUGCAUUGGCUAGUUGGUGAGGUAACGGCUCACCAAGGCCACGAUGCAUAGCGGACCUGAGAGAGUGACCGGCCACACUGGAACUGAGACACGGUCCAGAUUCCUACGGGAGGCAGCAGUAGGGAAUCUUGGGCAAUGGACGAAAGUCUGACCGAGCAACGCCGCGUGAGUGAAGAAGGUUUGCGGAUCGUAAAACUCUGUUGUUAGAGAAGCGGUAUCUAACCAGAAAGCCACGGCUAACUACGUGCCAGCAGCCGCGGUAAUAC